GUUGUAUACAGGUCGUGUACAGGUUGUAUACAGGUCGUGUACAGGUCGUGUACAGGUUGUGUACAGGUUGUGUACAGGUUGUAUACAGGUCGUGUACAGGUUGUAUACAGGUCGUGUACAGGUUGUGUACAGGUCGUGUACAGGUUGUAUACAGGUCGUGUACAGGUUGUAUACAGGUCGUGUACAGGUUGUGUACAGGUCGUGUACAGGUUGUAUACAGGUCGUGUACAGGUCGUGUACAGGUUGUAUACAGGUCGUGUACAGGUUGUGUACAGGUCGUGUACAGGUUGUAUACAGGUUGUAUACAGGUCGUGUACAGGUUGUAUACAGGUCGUGUACAGGUCGUGUACAGGUCGUAUACAGGUCGUGUACAGGUUGUGUACAGGCUUCCAAGAAAUGCACAUUGAUCCACUACCAGUGCUGGAAUGAUGUCAGGGUAUCUCGCUUCCUUGAAGCCUCUCUCAUGACAGAGGACGAAUCUAUAGUCCUGCUUUCUCACUAAUUAAUGAGCUGUGUGGA